GCCCGCCGCCUCCUGGGGCCGCUCUCCACUGCGAGUCCGCCGGGACUAACCGGGCGUUUGCGAGAGGGGGUGCGUCCAAGGGCCCCUCCCGCGUGUCCGGCGCCCACCUUUGGCCCUGAGGGCCGAGUGGGGAGCCCCACGACGCUAUUACAGCCUUUCAGAUGCACGGACUGGGAAACUGGGGCUCAGAGAAGUCAAGUGGCUCGCCCAAGGUCACCCAGCGAGUGAUCCUGGGAAGAGGGGACAAGGGCCGAGCUGGAGCUGGGAAGGGCGCCCCAGUUCGCCCCAGUCGCGCUCUGAGGAAUAGCAGCGGGACCGCCCUGCUCUCUAAAGCUUCCUGGACUUCUCUAAGUUAUGUCGCGUUGCUGUCCCCUCGUACUUAUAAGAGAGUAAGGCAGGGGCGCCGUCCUUUCUCCGCGCCUGAGCUCAGAGCGCCAACCUCCUGAGAUCCGCCAGCUCAGAGGUCGGUUACAUAAAAGCGCGUGCCCUUCUGGGCGUCUUUGUCAUCCCGACUUGCUCCUGGGUUGUCAUUCUCUUAGGUCAUAAACCGGCUGUGCCUGGACACAGCUGAGUGAGCCGCGUCUGAGCUCAUCCGCUCCUGGGGAGAGGCCCUGGGACGCCCCGCCUGUCGGUGGCAAUGCUCUCUGUCCCCUUCCGCCCACCCCCAACCCCCAGCAAAUGCUCUCCAAGGCCAUUUCAGAUUUCCCGAGGCAUGUGGAAUAAACGUCCCCCAGGAAGGCGAAGGACUCCAGUCCUUGCCCUGCCAUUUUUCCUGCCUUCAAACAGCCAGCUCAAGUCCCGGCCUCAAUGUCACCUUCCCUGGACAGCCUCUCAGGACCUCCCUGGCAAAGUGUCAUUUCAGAGUCCCCAGUAAGAGUCUUCUUCAUGGCUCUCUUCAGUCUCAACUUGCAAGAAGCAGAAAAAUGGCACAGUUAAAAGCAAAGCCUCUGGGGUUAAACAGCCUGGAUUUGGAAUCAUGGAUCUGCUGCUCACUAGCUGUGACCUUGGGCAAGUUUCUUCACCUCAGGGUCCUCAUCCGUCAAGUGGAGAUGACAACCAAACUUAUUUCAUAAGAAGUUCAUGAGAAUAAAUAUGUUAACUCAUAAUGAAAUACCCA
rnacentral:lncRNA from 1 species